rnacentral:rRNA from 1 species
GGUUAAGCGACUAAGCGUACACGGUGGAUGCCCUGGCAGUCAGAGGCGAUGAAGGACGUGCUAAUCUGCGAUAAGCGUCGGUAAGGUGAUAUGAACCGUUAUAACCGGCGAUUUCCGAAUGGGGAAACCCAGUGUGUUUCGACACACUAUCAUUAACUGAAUCCAUAGGUUAAUGAGGCGAACCGGGGGAACUGAAACAUCUAAGUACCCCGAGGAAAAGAAAUCAACCGAGAUUCCCCCAGUAGCGGCGAGCGAACGGGGAGCAGCCCAGAGCCUGAAUCAGUGUGUGUGUUAGUGGAAGCGUCUGGAAAGGCGCGCGAUACAGGGUGACAGCCCCGUACACAAAAAUGCACAUACUGUGAGCUCGAUGAGUAGGGCGGGACACGUGGUAUCCUGUCUGAAUAUGGGGGGACCAUCCUCCAAGGCUAAAUACUCCUGACUGACCGAUAGUGAACCAGUACCGUGAGGGAAAGGCGAAAAGAACCCCGGCGAGGGGAGUGAAAAAGAACCUGAAACCGUGUACGUACAAGCAGUGGGAGCCUCUUUAUGGGGUGACUGCGUACCUUUUGUAUAAUGGGUCAGCGACUUAUAUUCUGUAGCAAGGUUAACCGAAUAGGGGAGCCGAAGGGAAACCGAGUCUUAACUGGGCGUUAAGUUGCAGGGUAUAGACCCGAAACCCGGUGAUCUAGCCAUGGGCAGGUUGAAGGUUGGGUAACACUAACUGGAGGACCGAACCGACUAAUGUUGAAAAAUUAGCGGAUGACUUGUGGCUGGGGGUGAAAGGCCAAUCAAACCGGGAGAUAGCUGGUUCUCCCCGAAAGCUAUUUAGGUAGCGCCUCGUGAAUUCAUCUCCGGGGGUAGAGCACUGUUUCGGCAAGGGGGUCAUCCCGACUUACCAACCCGAUGCAAACUGCGAAUACCGGAGAAUGUUAUCACGGGAGACACACGGCGGGUGCUAACGUCCGUCGUGAAGAGGGAAACAACCCAGACCGCCAGCUAAGGUCCCAAAGUCAUGGUUAAGUGGGAAACGAUGUGGGAAGGCCCAGACAGCCAGGAUGUUGGCUUAGAAGCAGCCAUCAUUUAAAGAAAGCGUAAUAGCUCACUGGUCGAGUCGGCCUGCGCGGAAGAUGUAACGGGGCUAAACCAUGCACCGAAGCUGCGGCAGCGACGCUUAUGCGUUGUUGGGUAGGGGAGCGUUCUGUAAGCCUGCGAAGGUGUGCUGUGAGGCAUGCUGGAGGUAUCAGAAGUGCGAAUGCUGACAUAAGUAACGAUAAAGCGGGUGAAAAGCCCGCUCGCCGGAAGACCAAGGGUUCCUGUCCAACGUUAAUCGGGGCAGGGUGAGUCGACCCCUAAGGCGAGGCCGAAAGGCGUAGUCGAUGGGAAACAGGUUAAUAUUCCUGUACUUGGUGUUACUGCGAAGGGGGGACGGAGAAGGCUAUGUUGGCCGGGCGACGGUUGUCCCGGUUUAAGCGUGUAGGCUGGUUUUCCAGGCAAAUCCGGAAAAUCAAGGCUGAGGCGUGAUGACGAGGCACUACGGUGCUGAAGCAACAAAUGCCCUGCUUCCAGGAAAAGCCUCUAAGCAUCAGGUAACAUCAAAUCGUACCCCAAACCGACACAGGUGGUCAGGUAGAGAAUACCAAGGCGCUUGAGAGAACUCGGGUGAAGGAACUAGGCAAAAUGGUGCCGUAACUUCGGGAGAAGGCACGCUGAUAUGUAGGUGAAGUCCCUCGCGGAUGGAGCUGAAAUCAGUCGAAGAUACCAGCUGGCUGCAACUGUUUAUUAAAAACACAGCACUGUGCAAACACGAAAGUGGACGUAUACGGUGUGACGCCUGCCCGGUGCCGGAAGGUUAAUUGAUGGGGUUAGCGCAAGCGAAGCUCUUGAUCGAAGCCCCGGUAAACGGCGGCCGUAACUAUAACGGUCCUAAGGUAGCGAAAUUCCUUGUCGGGUAAGUUCCGACCUGCACGAAUGGCGUAAUGAUGGCCAGGCUGUCUCCACCCGAGACUCAGUGAAAUUGAACUCGCUGUGAAGAUGCAGUGUACCCGCGGCAAGACGGAAAGACCCCGUGAACCUUUACUAUAGCUUGACACUGAACAUUGAGCCUUGAUGUGUAGGAUAGGUGGGAGGCUUUGAAGUGUGGACGCCAGUCUGCAUGGAGCCGACCUUGAAAUACCACCCUUUAAUGUUUGAUGUUCUAACGUUGACCCGUAAUCCGGGUUGCGGACAGUGUCUGGUGGGUAGUUUGACUGGGGCGGUCUCCUCCUAAAGAGUAACGGAGGAGCACGAAGGUUGGCUAAUCCUGGUCGGACAUCAGGAGGUUAGUGCAAUGGCAUAAGCCAGCUUGACUGCGAGCGUGACGGCGCGAGCAGGUGCGAAAGCAGGUCAUAGUGAUCCGGUGGUUCUGAAUGGAAGGGCCAUCGCUCAACGGAUAAAAGGUACUCCGGGGAUAACAGGCUGAUACCGCCCAAGAGUUCAUAUCGACGGCGGUGUUUGGCACCUCGAUGUCGGCUCAUCACAUCCUGGGGCUGAAGUAGGUCCCAAGGGUAUGGCUGUUCGCCAUUUAAAGUGGUACGCGAGCUGGGUUUAGAACGUCGUGAGACAGUUCGGUCCCUAUCUGCCGUGGGCGCUGGAGAACUGAGGGGGGCUGCUCCUAGUACGAGAGGACCGGAGUGGACGCAUCACUGGUGUUCGGGUUGUCAUGCCAAUGGCACUGCCCGGUAGCUAAAUGCGGAAGAGAUAAGUGCUGAAAGCAUCUAAGCACGAAACUUGCCCCGAGAUGAGUUCUCCCUGACUCCUUGAGAGUCCUGAAGGAACGUUGAAGACGACGACGUUGAUAGGCCGGGUGUGUAAGCGCAGCGAUGCGUUGAGCUAACCGGUACUAAUGAACCGUGAGGCUUAACCUU